CUCAGUGUGUGUGUGUGGGUCGAUGUUCGACCAGGAGAGAAGGGAAAAGGGGUAAAACCCUAGAUCACCAAAAUCCAUCAAAUUGAAGGAGGAUUGAAGGGCUAAUCGAAUGCAUGAACCAGGAAUGUCGAUCAUUUAAGUGUUUCUACCAUCAUGAACGUGUCAAGGAGAGGUCAAGCAUAGGAGGAUAACGGGUCAAGAUAAGGCAAGGUGACAAAUACACUUAUUAGAGUACUCAAGGUAUCGCUUGGGUUUUCUCUACAUUUAUUGAAGUCAAGCAGGGCUUAGUUCGAGUUGAGAGCAAGGAUUGUACGGGGUAGAACGAUCACACAAUGAGAUUUAUAUAAGUCUUGAUGUGUAAAUCUGUUUAAAUGAAUAUAUGGUAUUUCGUAUUUGAACCUUCAUAUGAUUGACAUGUCUAAUAAAGAACGAAAUUUUUGGACUCAUGUUUUCCAUUGCGUCGUAUUUAAGUUCUUAUAAGUUGGUCAAACAGGGAAUUGCUCUUAUUACGAACGGGUCAUGCCCGAAUUUUAUUAUAAUAAUAGCAUGAUAAUAUUACUUUCGGAUUUGGAAAUCUGGGUGUUACAAGUUGGUAUCAGAGCCCUGGUUUGAGCGAAAUCAAGUAUGAUGAGGCAAAUACUUGAACUCAAACCUACGCGCUCUUGUGAUCAGGAACCCGUACAAUCCGAGACUCGAUCAAGAUCUAAAGGUGGAAGCGAAUGUAAGUGUGUACUUAAGUAUGUAUUUGAAAACUAACAGUAUGUCAUGUGUAAGGUAAGGAUAAUUGCUUGGAAGAGGAUGAUUCGUGAAUGCGGUCUAGGACCGACACCAAGGUAUGUAAUGAGACCAUUGCCCAGGUACGUAAAUUUUGCAUAAGGGUGCAUGUAAUGCUAAAAGUUAUCGAGUGAAGGAAAAUUUUAAUGAAAUAUAAUAAUAUAAUGGAAACGAAGUUAUGAAAAUGUUACACGUGCCGAAACCUAAUUCUUCGGACAUAAGGUGACGAUUACACGAAGACACGAAACUAGUAUGUGGAUUGUGUACCUGGCCAGUACACAAGAAACAUAUGAUGUUCGUGAGACCGUAAUGAUUGUUACAGGUAUGUCAGUUAGAAUUAGGUAGUGGGUGGACAUGAGGGUGAAAAGAAAUGUAAGACUUUCUGAAAUGAAAGUAUGAAUGAUAUGUUAGAAUCCGCGAGACGGAUUCGAAACAUGAAAGGAAUGAAAGUAUGAAUGAUAUGUUAGAAUCCGCGAGACGGAUUCGAAACAUGAAAGGAAUGAAAGUAUGAAAGAUAUGUUAGAAUCCGCGAGAUGGAUUCGAAACAAAGAAGGAAAGAAAGUAUGAAUGAUAUGUUAGAAACCGCGUGACGGUUAGAAACAUAAUAAACGAUAAGAAUGAAAAGAUUCGAAGUUGUAGGUAAUUACGGACUAAGGAAUUAAAUAUUCUUUAAAAAGCAAAUAUUAUCCAAGUUAUGUCUUAAACUUAUAUAUAUAUACAAAUAUGUUUAUAUGCAAGAAUGGUUAAAGAGACGAAUGAGUCAUGCAGGUCAAAUGGUAAUCGCCAUUUAAACCGAUAUUUAGUGUUUUGAUUUGUUAAGUUUUAUACUUGUAGGUGAGCAUAAUGUUUGGCACGUAAACCUAAAUUUUGACGAAAGAAAGAAGUUUUGAACAUGUUAUGUUUUAGAUGUGUUAGUAAUCGACUCUUAGGAGUCGUAAUAAAUGACGGGCUACGAUCCGGACAAUAAUUUAAGUAUAAUUGGGAAGGGUAAGUUAUGGCAAGAAUACUGAAUUGAUGUAAUGAAUGUCUUGGCAAGUAAGCAUGAAUGAAAAAGGAGUAAGAACGUGUACUUUAAUACAUAUACGAUAAAUAAGACAUGUCAGUUUGACCUCGAAAAGUCAAACUGUAAAGGUUGACGAAAUAAGAAACUGGAAUAAAAGAAUUGCAUGUAAGGGAUGAAAUGUGGGAUGUGUUAUAGCAUGUAUGUAGGAAGAAGUAAAGGGAUAAUAGGUGGGUAUCAUCUAGUAUAAUGAUUGUUUGAAUGAAAGGUGCUAAUCGACAAUUUUGUAGAUGUUAAUGGUGGAAUUCUGAAUAUGAUGAAACCAAUCGAAUUGUUGAAAGAAUGUGCACGAGUGGAAGCCCAUUACAAGAAUGAAUGAAAGCUGGCCUGGUACGGUUAGUACUUGUGAAGAAGCGGAUCAAUAUGGUUUACGGAUCGCUGAAGUAUGAAAUGAAAUCAAGGUAAGUAAAAUGUUUUAACUCAUGCCAGAUAGAUAUGGAUUAGUAAAUUGAAAACGGCUUACGAGAUGAGUGAUGGGAUAGGUAUGGUAUGGUAUGGAAUGUUUGACUUUAAUAGUUGACGUUAGAAGAAAACUAUGCCAUUAAGAACUAAAUCUUGAAGGUUUU
rnacentral:lncRNA from 1 species